AGAGUUUGAUCCUGGCUCAGGAUGAACGCUAGCUACAGGCUUAACACAUGCAAGUCGAGGGGAAACGACAUCGAAAGCUUGCUUUUGAUGGGCGUCGACCGGCGCACGGGUGAGUAACGCGUAUCCAACCUGCCCACCACUUGGGGAUAACCUUGCGAAAGUAAGACUAAUACCCAAUGACGUCUCUAGAAGACAUCUGAAAGAGAUUAAAGAUUUAAUCGGUGAUGGAUGGGGAUGCGUCUGAUUAGCUUGUUGGCGGGGUAACGGCCACCAAGGCGACGAUCAGUAGGGGUUCUGGAGAGGAAGGUCCCCCGANACUUGGAACUGAGACACGGUCCAAACGUCCUACGGGAGGCA
rnacentral:rRNA from 1 species